GGGUAUAGCUCAAUUGGUAGAGCGGCGGUCUCCAAAACCGUAGGCUCUGGGUUCAAGUCCUAGUGC
rnacentral:tRNA from 1 species